rnacentral:tRNA from 1 species
UUCCCAACCCAGGGAUCGAACCCAGGUCUCCUGCACUGUAGGCAGAUUCUUUACCAGCUGAGCCACCUGGGA